rnacentral:rRNA from 1 species
UACGGAGGGCGCAAGCGUUGUUCGGAAUCACUGGGCGUAAAGCGCGUGCAGGCGGCUUGGUAAGUCGGAUGUGAAAUCCCGGAGCUCAACUCCGGAACUGCAUCCGAUACUGCCUCGCUAGAGUCCCGGAGAGGAUGGCGGAAUUUCCGGUGUAGAGGUGAAAUUCGUAGAUAUCGGAAGGAACACCAGCGGCGAAGGCGGCCAUCUGGACGGUGACCGACGCUCAGACGCGAAAGCGCGGGGAGCAAACAGG